rnacentral:rRNA from 1 species
CCUUGGGAUACCACCCUUGUAGUACUGGGACUCUAACCAUAGGCCAUGAAUCUGGUCUUGGGACACUGUCAGGUGGGCAGUUUGACUGGGGCGGUCGCCUCCCAAAAGGUAACGGAGGCGCUCAAAGGUUCUCUCAGUACGGUCGGAAAUCGUACGUAGAGUGUAAAGGCAAAAGAGAGCUUGAUUGCAAGACAUACAGGUCGAGCAAGGAUGAAAAUCGGACUUAGUGAUCCGGUGGUUCUGCGUGGAAGGGCCAUCGCUCAACGGAUAAAAGCUACCCUGGGGAUAACAGGCUUAUCUCCCCCAAGAGUCCACAUCGACGGGGAGGUUUGGCACCUCGAUGUCGGCUCAUCACAUCCUGGGGCUGUAGUAGGUCCCAAGGGUUGGGCUGUUCGCCCAUUAAAGUGGUACGCGAGCUGGGUUCAGAACGUCGUGAGACAGUUCGGUCCCUAUCCGUCGCAGGCGUAGGAAAUUUGAGAAGACCUGUCCUUAGUACGAGAGGACCGGGAUGGACG